AGCAGCCGCGGUAAUUCCAGCUCCAAUAGCGUAUAUUAAAGUUGUUGCAGUUAAAAAGCUCGUAGUUGAACUUCGGGGUUUACCCAUUGGUCAGGCUUAAUUGUCUGUACUGGUGAGAUAAAUCUCUACCUUCUGAGGAACUUUCAUGCCAUUUAGUUGGUGUGAUAGGAAAUCAGGACUGUUACUUUGAAAAAUUGAGUGUUUAAAGCAGGCUAACGUCUGAAUACAUUAGCAUGGAAUAAUGAAAUAGGACGGAUUGGUUCUAUUUCGUUGGUUUCUAGGAUCACCGUAAUGAUUAAUAGGGAUAGUUGGGGGCAUUAGUAUUCAAUUGUCAGAGGUGAAAUUCUUGGAUUUAUUGAAGACUAACUACUGCGAAAGCAUUUGCCAAGGAUGUUUUCAUUAAUCAAGAACGAAAGUUAGGGGAUCGAAGACGAUCAGAUACCGUCGUAGUCUUAACCAUAAACUAUGCCGACUAG
rnacentral:rRNA from 1 species